CCUACGGGGGGCAGCAGUGAGGAAUAUUGGUCAAUGGACGAGAGUCUGAACCAGCCAAGUAGCGUGAAGGAUGACUGCCCUAUGGGUUGUAAACUUCUUUUAUAUGGGAAUAAAAUGUUCCACGUGUGGGAUUUUGUAUGUACCAUAUGAAUAAGGAUCGGCUAACUCCGUGCCAGCAGCCGCGGUAAUACGGAGGAUCCGAGCGUUAUCCGGGUUUAUUGGGUUUAAAGGGAGCGUAGGUGGAUUGUUAAGUCAGUUGUGAAAGUUUGCGGCUCAACCGUAAAAUUGCAGUUGAAACUGGCAGUCUUGAGUACAGUAGAGGUGGGCGGAAUGCGUGGUGUAGCGGUGAAAUGCUUAGAUAGCACGAAGAACUCCGAUUGCGAAGGCAGUUCACUGGACUGCAACUGACACUGAGGCUCGAAAGUGUGGGUAUCAAACAGGAUUAGAUACCCUUGUAGUC
rnacentral:rRNA from 1 species